ACGCUCGACACCUACGGGAAGCAGCAGUGGGGAAUAUUGCACAAUGGGGGAAACCCUGAUGCAGCGACGCCGCGUGGAGGAAGAAGGUCUUCGGAUUGUAAACUCCUGUUGUUGGGGAAAAAGAGGAUGGUACCCAACAAGGAAGUGACGGCUAACUACGUGCCAGCAGCCGCGGUAAUCUGAGCGGCUGGCAAGGC
rnacentral:rRNA from 1 species